CAAUACAAAUCUCACGAAUGACGAAUGUCGAAUAACGCAAAAUAGAGUGGAAUUGGAUAUGGAUACGCAAAGUUUGAAUGUGGUGAAAAAAGAGGGAGAAAUAGCAAAAAUACUUAUAAUAAUAAGCUGUCCUGUUUGUUUUCUAAACACCAGUAAUCAAAACACAACUAUGACUUAAAACACGAGGGAGAUCAGGCACGAUUUGAUAAUUGCCAGGUAGUCGUGUCACAAGAUCAACAAUGCAGAACAAAAUGGGGAAAGGAACCACUGAGUCAGAUGUGAAACUAUAAGCAGUGCAGAAAAAAAAACGAACACUUUUUUUCACAUGGAUGAAAACAACGAGAUGAUCGAGGUGGGAUGAACCGAGAACGAAAACAAGAAAGACAAGGUGAUAGGUAACAAGAUUGAUGGUGAGGCCGUCAACUUGUACACUAGACUCUGAUUCUAUACUUCUUUUGUUUAGAAAUCAAACUGAGAGAAUAGUGUGUGUACGUAUUCUUGAAACGUGUUGUCACCUGUUGUAUGCUAAAGAAUGCUGUGGCGCCACAUGGUGCGCGGGGGAGAGAGCCAGAGAGGACAGCAUUUGAUAUAACUCCAAUUCGGCAAAUAAAAGAUACCAGCAAAGUUA